CCUACGGGUGGCAGCAGUGGGGAAUAUUGCACAAUGGGGGAAACCCUGAUGCAGCGACGCCGCGUGAGUGAAGAAGUAAUUCGUUACGUAAAGCUCUAUCAGCAGGGAAGAAAUACUGACCUUACGGUCAGCAGACGGUACCUGAGUAAGAAGCCCCGGCUAACUACGUGCCAGCAGCCGCGGUAAUACGUAGGGGGCAAGCGUUAUCCGGAUUUACUGGGUGUAAAGGGAGCGUCGGCGGUGCGCCAAGUCUGGAGUGAAAUGCCGAAGCUUAACUGCGGAACUGCUUUGGAAACUGGCGAACUAGAGUGCGGGAGGGGUAAGCGGAAUUCCUAGUGUAGCGGUGAAAUGCGUAGAUAUUAGGAGGAACACCGGUGGCGAAGGCGGCUUACUGGACCGUAACUGACGUUGAGGCUCGAAAGCGUGGGGAGCAAACAGGAUUAGAUACCCGUGUAGUC
rnacentral:rRNA from 1 species